GGGCCCGCACAAGCGGAGGAACAUGUGGUUUAAUUCGAUGAUACGCGAGGAACCUUACCCGGGCUUGAAAUGUACCUGACGGACUUUGAAAGAAGUUUUCCGCAAGGCAGGUAUGUAGGUGCUGCAUGGUUGUCGUCAGCUCGUGCCGUGAGGUGUCGGCUUAAGUGCCAUAACGAGCGCAACCCUUAUCUUUAGUUACUAACAGGUUAUGCUGAGGACUCUGAAGAGACUGCCGUCGUAAGAUGUGAGGAAGGUGGGGAUGACGUCAAAUCAGCACGGCCCUUACGUCCGGGGCUACACACGUGUUACAAUGGGGGGUACAGCAGGUUGCUAGCAGGCGACUGUAUGCUAAUCCGUAAAACCUCUCUCAGUUCGGAUCGAAGUCUGCAACCCGACUUCGUGAAGCUGGAUUCGCUAGUAAUCGCGCAUCAGCCACGGCG
rnacentral:rRNA from 1 species